rnacentral:rRNA from 1 species
ACUAUACUGUGAAACUGCGAAUGGCUCAUUAAAUCAGUUAUCGUUUAUUUGAUAGUACCUUACUACUUGGAUAACCGUGGUAAUUCUAGAGCUAAUACAUGCUAAAAACCCCGACUUCGGAAGGGGUGUAUUUAUUAGAUAAAAAACCAACGCCCUUCGGGGCUCCUUGGUGAAUCAUAAUAACUUAACGAAUCGCAUGGCCUUGCGCCGGCGAUGGUUCAUUCAAAUUUCUGCCCUAUCAACUUUCGAUGGUAGGAUAGUGGCCUACCAUGGUUUCAACGGGUAACGGGGAAUUA